rnacentral:rRNA from 1 species
CUGGAACGCGCCCCAGGCGCACCCAGAAACCCUUUGUGAACUUAUACCUUACUGUUGCCUCGGCGCUAGCUGGUCCUCCGGGGCCCCUCACCCCCGGGUGUUGAGACAGCCCGCCGGCGGCCAACCUAACUCUUGUUUUUACACUGAAACUCUGAGAAUAAAACAUAAAUGAAUCAAAACUUUCAACAACGGAUCUCUUGGUUCUGGCAUCGAUGAAGAACGCAGCGAAAUGCGAUAAGUAAUGUGAAUUGCAGAAUUCAGUGAAUCAUCGAAUCUUUGAACGCACAUUGCGCCCUCUGGUAUUCCGGAGGGCAUGCCUGUUCGAGCGUCAUUUCAACCCUCAAGCCUGGCUUGGUGAUGGGGCACUGCCUGUAAAAGGGCAGGCCCUGAAAUUCAGUGGCGAGCUCGCCAGGACCCCGAGCGCAGUAGUUAAACCCUCGCUCUGGAAGGCCCUGGCGGUGCCCUGCCGUUAAACCCCCAACUUCUGAAAAU